rnacentral:tRNA from 1 species
GCAGUGAUGGGUCAGUGGUAGAAUUCCUUCUUUCCACGCAGGAGACCCAGGUUCGAUUCCUGGCCAGUACA